UACGGGAUAAUAUAUUUGAGAGGCAUCUCUUGAAUAUCAAAGGUGAGCCAGUACAGGAUGGACCCGCGUCUGAUUAGCUAGUUGGUAAGGUAACGGCUUACCAAGGCGACGAUCAGUAGCCGACCUGAGAGGGUGAUCGGCCACAUUGGAACUGGGACACGGUCCAAACUCCUACGGGAGGCAGCAGUGGGGAAUAUUGCACAAUGGGCGAAAGCCUGAUGCAGCAACGCCGCGUGAGUGAUGAAGGCCUUCGGGUCGUAAAACUCUGUCCUCAAGGAAGAUAAUGACGGUACUUG
rnacentral:rRNA from 1 species